rnacentral:lncRNA from 1 species
UAUCUAACCACACCAUUCUAGACUUACUAGUUGCAAAUAACACUAAAGAAACCAAAGUGGAUCAACCUCUCGACUAUGUUACAUUUUCUGAGAAUGUUUUAAGGAACAAAAGCUGACCUCUAACCUAAUUGAGCUCAACUUUGCUUGUCUUGGGACUAGGUAUACAUGGGAUUAGAUUCUUUAAACAAGUCUGGAAGGUAAAACCUUGUGUAGAUUUAUCACCAUCUCUCU